ACGUUCAUGUUCAUGUUCAUGUUCAUGUUCCGUUCAGCCUAGAACAGGCUGGAGAGCAAAGCCCUGGUUCUUGGUUCUUACGCUCACAGCGUUGUAUCAGAUAGGUCUGAGCUGAGCCUUGGAGACCAAAGCCUUUCAC